CAGUAGUGAAAAGCAGCUUCAGGUUCCUUUCGAUAAUUUAUUUUCACUAAAGCGUCAUUUUUUUAAGGGUACCCAUUUGCUUGUUCGCUGGUUGGUGAAAGGGGUUACUAGAUUUUCACGUUUAUGCUUUCAAAUUAAACAAAAACCAUAUUUUUUGAUUCCUCUAUUGAGAUUUGACAUCUCAUUUUCUGAAAUGCUCUUGGUGGUGUGUGUGUUGUGUAUAUGAAAAUGUUACUGG
rnacentral:misc_RNA from 1 species